UACAGGGGGUGCGAGCGUUGUCCGGAAUCACUGGGCGUAAAGGGCGCGUAGGUGGUUUGAUAAGGGUGUGGUGAAAGUCCGGAGCUCAACUCCGGAUCUGCCGUGCCGACUGUCAAACUCGAGGGCUGUAGAGGCAGACGGAAUUCCGGGUGUAGCGGUGGAAUGCGUAGAGAUCCGGAGGAAGACCGGUGGCGAAGGCGGUCUGCUGGGCAGUUUCUGACACUGAGGCGCGACAGCGUGGGGAGCAAACAGG
rnacentral:rRNA from 1 species